GGGGCGGGCCCGGGCCCGGCGCCGCCCGCCCGGCCCUCGGGAGGCCGCGGCGGCCGGGGGGGGCCUGGCCCGGCCCGGCCCGGCCCGAGCUCCUUCUCCUGGAGGGAGCGCUCGCCUUGCUGGCGGCUCCCGCAGCUCCGCCGCUUGCCCGGGGCCCCGGAGCGUCGCCCGGGGGCCGGGAGCGGUGACCCCGUCAGACGGGCUGUGCCCGGGGGCUUGGCCCUGCCCGGCGGCGGCGCCUCCGGUACCGGGAAGGCCUGAGUUAGGCUCGCCGGUAGAACCUCCGAGGCUGUCGCGACAUGACCUGAGCACUCGCUAACAAAAGCAUUUUUUUUACUGUGUGUUGGAGGAGAGUGAAUGCAGAAGGAAGCUGUUCUUCUAGAUUGAAAUGCAGGAAAAGUGAAUUUAUGGAAUAAAAAUCUUUGCAUCUCUCCAAGGAAGCAGAAUUGGGUCUCUUUUGAAGGUGCCACGUUGUACAUAACAUGCCAGUGAUAUCGGUAUAUACAGAGGUCUUCUCACCACCCAGAAUGUAGAAAUAACAAUAGAGUGUUCCAGUCUGUAGAGAACCUGCAAUUGUGAGGUGAUGGUUACCAUCCAGGUUGGAAGUAGUGAUAUCUCAAGGUAUUUGUCUGUACCUGGGAGCACGUUCAGGAAAUGUAGUCUGAGUAAGAAACAUAGUCUGUUUUGGCAGUGGUGCUAUGGAUGCAGUUUUAGGAUUAGCCUGUGUGGGAUUUUGUUCCUGUCAUUCUGAACGGUCAGCAGUUUGAGAUUAUUGUUUAGCUAGAAUGAUAGAAAACAAAUGGGCAUAUCAUUCAUAUGCAGAGAGGUUUUUUUUAAGUAGUCAUUCACAUCAAACAUUUUUUUCCUAAGUUGUUAUUUGCAGGAAAGAGGUAAAUUUGCUUAAACCUUGAAAUUUAUUGUUCUUUGUGUAUUACAUGAAGGGAGUUUAAGCAUUGGGUUUCUUUAAUCCAAUAAUUAAGCAAUAUCUUGCUUUUUUAUGUGAUUUGUUUUAAUUUUUUUUUUCCACCUGUAGAUCAGUAAAAGUUUUGGCCGUUGUUUAUUCUUGUAAAAAUCACAGUUUGAAAAGACAACUGCCUUUUUUUUUUUUUAAAAAAAAAAAUGUGAUAAGCACAUGCUGUGCUUUGGCUCUUUAGUAUCCUAUGUGUUUAGAAUUAAAAUGUGCUUUGGGAGACAUUUAGCAGUUAGAGAACAUCUGCAGUUUUGAAGACAUGGUUAUGAGGAAUAGAGGAAAGUGCAGAAUGAUACUUGCUCUAAGUUUAUGAGUUCAGGCAUUCAUCUGUAACCAGAGAAACUGCUCUCCAAUUAAUGGGUGUCAGAUGUUUACAUAUAUUGGAUAUGAAAUAAUGUGCCAUAUUUAAGAAAAUGACUCCCAAUUUUUUUGUUAGUAUACUUUGUGUGAGAGUUCCACUAGUAAUGCGUAUUCCUUUUAUAAUGCUACAGUACAUGUUGCAUUACAUGUUUUGAGUAUAAAUUUAGUUCAUCCUUACAGCUGUUCCAAUGCAACAGGGAAACUGAAGGAUACAGUUGUGAGGGUAUUUGGUUCUGUGAGCUAGAAGAGUCAAAGUCGUGGGCCGGUGUCCUGUAGCUUUGGGUUCUGCCAGGGAGCCUGGGAGGGAGCCUCCAGGCAAGGCUUGGCCUGCUGGAGGGUUGCUGGCUUGUUGCUUGUACCUGGAGGGAACUGGUUCCCCUCUCUAGGAAGAUGAGGUGGGAGAGGAGACUCUCAUGCUCCUGAAGCGUCAGAUGCUCACCUCUGCUGUCCCUGGGAGAUGGUGAUGCCAGCCUGUAUCCAGGGCCUGUCCCUUAAAGUCAUUGGGCUUUUUGGGCUCAAAUCAUGUGAUUUCUGUAUGCGCUCUGGCCCAGGUGAGGUUUCUUCAGGGUUGGUAUUUGGCUUGCCUGUGGUGAGCUCAGCUGGAAGGCCUGUUGUCCAGGAGGGUUUUAAUUGUGCUACAGUAUCUGUGGAAAACAGAUUGGCUAUGUUGACCUUUAGAAUCUGGGAAUAGCUUUACCUAUCAGAAAAAAUAAAUGAAUGUAUCUACCUUUUCUUUUACAACUGCAUCCUGUGUGUCUUUAUGUGUAUGUUGGUUUUGAUGUAGAUUCUUCAGAACUGGAUUUAUUCGUGUCUCUCAGCUUGGAAAGUAAAAGUAUAUUGUGCCUACUGUCAAAACUAAAUAAAUGCAAGAUGAAACUUA